rnacentral:rRNA from 1 species
UACGUAGGGUGCGAGCGUUGUCCGGAAUUAUUGGGCGUAAAGGGCUCGUAGGCGGUUUGUCGCGUCGGGAGUGAAAACCCAGGGCUUAACCCUGGGCUGGCUUCCGAUACGGGCAGGCUAGAGGUAUGCAGGGGAGAACGGAAUUCCUGGUGUAGCGGUGAAAUGCGUAGAGAUCAGGAAGAACACCGGUGGCGAAAGCGCUCUGCUGGACCUUAACUGACACUGAGGGACGAAAGCUAGGGGAGCGAAUGGG